rnacentral:rRNA from 1 species
CUCGUAGGCGGCUGCUCAAGUCGAAUGUGAAAACUCGAGGCUCAACCUCGAGCCUGCAUUCGAUACUGGGCGGCUAGAGUCUGGUAGGGGGAUCUGGAAUUCCUGGUGUAGCGGUGGAAUGCGCAGAUAUCAGGAGGAACACCGGUGGCGAAGGCGGGAUCCUGGGCCAGUACUGACGCUGAUGAGCGAAAGCGUGGGGAGCAAACA